AUGGCGGAGGUGGGGGAGAUAAUCGAGGGCUGCCGCCUACCCGUACUGCGGCGGAACCAGGACAACGAAGAUGAGUGGCCCCUGGCUGAGAUCCUAAGUGUAAAGGACAUCAGUGGCAGGAAGCUUUUCUACGUUCACUACAUUGACUUCAAUAUAUGUCUGGGUGAGUGGGUGACCCACAAGCGGCUGGAUUUAAAGAAGAUCCAGUUCCCCAAGAAAGAGGCUAAGACCUCCACCAAGAACGGACUUCCUGGUUCCCGGCCUGGGUCUCCAGAGAAAGAGGUGCCGGCCUCCGCCCAGACCAGCGAGAAGACCUUGCCAAUCCCGGUCCAGAUCACACUCCACUUCAACCUGCCUAAGGAGCGGGAGGCCAUUCCCGGUGGUGAGCCUGACCAGCCGCUCCCCUCCAGCUCCUGCCUGCAACCCAACCACCGCUCAAAGAAAUGGAAGGUGGAGGUGGUUUCACCAGCAACUCCAGUCCCCAGUGAGACAGCCCCAGCUUCCAUUUUUCCCCAGAAUGGGUCAGCCCGUAGAGCUGUGGCAGCUCAGCCAGCAUAGAAGCGAAAAUCAAAUUGUCUGGGCACUGAUGAGGAUUCCCAGGACAGCUCCGAUGAAAUACUUCAGCUCCACGCAUGACUGGCAGCUUGGUAUCUGACAGGAGUCAUGACGACAUUGUCACCCGGAUGAAGAACACUGAGUGCAUCAAGCUGGGCAGGCAUCGCCUCAAGCUGUGGUACUUCUCCCCAUACCCACAGGAGCUCACCAUGUUGCCUGUCCUCUACCUAUGCGAGUUCUGCCUCAAGUAUGGUCAUAGCCUCAAGUGUCUGCAGCGUCACUUGACCAAGUGUGACCUGCAGCACCCACCAGGCAAUGAGAUAUACCGAAAUGGAACCAUCUCAUUCUUUGAGAUUGAUGGACGGAAGAACAAGAGUUAUUCCCAGAAUCUGUGUCUUCUGGCCAAAUGUUUCCUCGACCACAAGACCUUGUACUAUGACACAGACCCCUUCCUCUUCUAUGUCAUGACAGAGUAUGGCUGCAAGGGCUUCCACAUUGUGGGCUACUUUUCCAAGGAAAAGGAGUCCACAGAAGACUACAAUGUGGCCUGCAUCCUGACGCUGCCUCCCUAUCAGCACCAGGGCUAUGGCAAGCUGCUCACUGAGUUCAGCUAUGAACUCUCCAAGGUGGAGGGGAAGACACGGACCCCUUAGAAGCCCCUCUCCAAUCUUGGCCUCCUAUCCUAUAGAAGUUACUGGUCCCAGAAAAUCCUGGAGAUCCUGAUGGGACUGAAGUCAGAGAGUGGAGAGAGGCCGCAGAUCACUAUCAACGAGAUCAGUGAAAUUACCAGUAUCAAGAAAGAGGAUGUCAUCUCCACCCUGCAGUACCUCAACCUCAUCAAUUACUACAAAGGCCAGUAUAUCCUUACUCUAUCAGAGGACACUGUGGAUGGGCAUGAGCGGGCUAUGCUCAAGCAACUCCUUUGAAUUGACUCUAAGUAUCUACACUUUACUCCCAAGGACUGGAGCAAGACAGGAAAGUGGUGACAAGGCACUGCCUGCUACAGCAGCAUGAGCCAGCAGAGCUGGGGCCAUCAGCCUGCUACACAAACCCCCUAGGGUUCCCAGGAGACAUGCCACAGGAGGCAAAGCUGAAUACAGCUCCCAGAAGAGGGGCGGGGCCAGCACCGAGGCCCACCCAGGGCUCAGGUCAGCACCAUGGUCAGCUGCCACAAGCCCAGGCCCACAAUGAACCAGGGACCUGAGGGAGCCGGGCAGCCGUGUAUA